ensembl:lncRNA
GUGCGUCAUAUCUGACACCUAGAUGAACACUUUGCAGUUGGUUAUAUGACUGUAAGUCAUUCCCUUCAAACGCUAUUGAAGUUAGAAUCGUGUAUAACAAUGUUGUAUGUAACUUUAGAGACGGUCCCUUAAUUUCCACAUGAUUUCCACGUCCAACGACAAACCAACUUUAUGCCAGUCAGAAAAUAAGAUCCUGACCUCAAGCACUUCCUAACAGACAAACCGUUCUACAUUGUUAUCUAGCUUGGUUUUCAAUCAAGGGUGCUAGUCUGUUGCCUGAGGGAAAUCAAGUCAAUUAUUCCUCAGAAUAGGGGUGUGUGAUAUGUGAUAUGACAACAACAACAACAAAAACGUUACCAAAGUGUCCUUUUUGUGUCCUUUGUUUGGUAGCAUCAAGGGUACGUACAAGGAGUCCAAUUAUGUACUUUUAAUUUGCUUUUAAGAGAACAAUGUAUUCAUGGUUCCAUGCUGAAUCUACUGUAUAAACUAAAGGUAGAAAAGAUGUACCGUUCAAGGAACCACCUCAAGUGAGUGUAGUGGUGGGCGAUGUAUGAUACUGAAAGUGCUACCAUCAAGUGUCCCAAGUUUUGAACCUUUGAUGUGUAUUGUUCACCUGGGAACAUGCACAUGGCGUACCUUGAAUGAGCUUUUAAAAUGAAGCUUAAAAGGUACAUCAGGAGUCCAAUUAUGUAGCUGAAAUGACUUUUUAAGGCUACACUAUGUUCUUGUUUCCAUGUGAAAGGUAAGUAUUUAUUAAAAUGUGUACCCUUGAUGGUACCAACUUACUAACAAGGUGACGAAAGCAUGAACUAAAAUUUCUGCAUCAUGCAGUGACAAUAUAUUUCUUAUCUUAGCAAUAUUUCUGAGCUGAAAGAAGGCUAUCCUAGUAAUAUUAUCUACAUGAGCAGCAAAUGAUAGACUGGAGUCAAUAAUCACUCCAAGGUCUUUUAGUGCUGUACAUGAUGAAACGGAAAGUCCAUCCAGAGUUACUGUGUGAUCAGAACACUUACUUCUAACUACACGUGGUCCUAGUAUAAGUCCUUCUGUCUUGUCAGAAUUAAUUAAGAGGAAGUUAAUAAGCAUCCAACGUCUAAUGUCUUACACAUUCCUCAACUUUAUUAAGCUGGUGUCUGUCCUCUGGCUUCGCUGAAACAUACAGCUGUGUAUCAUCAGCAUAACAGUGGAAGAUAAUUCCAUGUUUACGAAUAAUUUGACCUAGAGGUAGCAUAUAUAGAGUAAAAAGCAGUGGGCCUAAAACAGAACCUUGUGGAACACCAAAUUUAACCUCGGUAUGCGUGGAGAAGUCUCCAUUUACAUCUAUGAACUGAUAACGAUCGGUCUAAUAAGACUUGAGCCAGGAGAGGACUGUUCCCUUAAUGCCAACAACGUAUUCUAGUCUAUCAAGGAGAAUAGUAUGAUCUAUAGUAUCAAAAGCUGCACUAAGGUUGAGUAAUACAACAGCGAGACACAACCCUGAUCAGAGUCCAGUAGUAGGUCAUUUACUACUUUAAUCAGCGCUGUCUCUGUGCUAUGAUGAGGUCUAAAUCCCGACUGAUAUAUUUCAUGAAUAUGCUGUUCCUAUGUAUGUACGAGCAUAACUGCUGUGCUACAACCUUUUCUAAUAUCAUGGAGAUAAAGGGGAGAUUUGAUAUUGGUCUAUAGCUGGACAGUUGAGAGGGGUCAAGGUCAAGUUUUUUAAUCAGGACUUUGAUAACUGCUCAUUUAAAUGAUUUAGGCACAUAGCCAGCGCUAAGGGAAGAAUUGAUUAUUUUUAGAAGGGG